GACGAACGCUGGCGGCGUGCCUAAUACAUGCAAGUAGAACGCAGUUGAGAACGGGGGAGUAACGCGGAGGUAACUGCAUAAUAGCGGGGGAUAAAUGUGGGCAAAGAUAGCUAAUACCGAAAACUGUGAGAUGGAGCUGAGUUGUAUUAGCUAGUUGGGGAGGUAAAGGCUAACCAAGGCGACGAUACAUAGCCGACCUGAGAGGGGUAUCGGCCUCACGUGGACUGUGACCCGGCCCCGACUCCUACGGGAGGCAGCCGUAGGGAAUCGUCGGCAAUGGACGGAAGUCUGACCGAGCACCGUCGCGUGAUUGAAGAAGUUUUUCGGAGCGUAAAGCUCUGUUGUUAGAGAAGCGGUAACUAACCAGACAGGGACGGCUAACUACGUGCCAGCAGCCGCGGUAAUUC
rnacentral:rRNA from 1 species